GUCUAUGGCUGUACCACCCUGAAUGUCUGAUCUCAGAAGCUAAAGAGGGUUGUGCCUGGUUAGUACUUGGAUGGGAGUCAAGGACAUGAUUGUCAUAGAAA
ensembl:rRNA 5S_rRNA 5S ribosomal RNA